rnacentral:rRNA from 1 species
AUGGUUAAGUUAGAAAGGGCGCACGGUGGAUGCCUUGGCACUAGGAGCCGAAGAAGGACGGGACUAACACCGAUAUGCUUUGGGGAGCUGUACGUAAGCGUUGAUCCAGAGAUUUCCGAAUGGGGGAACCCACUAUCUUUAGUCGGAUAGUAUCCUUACGUGAAUACAUAGCGUAAGGAAGGCAGACCCAGGGAACUGAAACAUCUAAGUACCUGGAGGAAGAGAAAGAAAAAUCGAUUUCCUGAGUAGCGGCGAGCGAAACGGAAAGAGCCCAAACCAAGAAGCUUGCUUCUUGGGGUUGUAGGACACUCUAUACGGAGUUACAAAGGAAUGUGGUAAACGAAGUGGUCUGGAAAGGCCCGCCAAAGAAGGUAACAGCCCUGUAAUUGAAAGCAUAUUCCCUCCAGAGUGGAUCCUGAGUACGGCGGAACACGUGAAAUUCCGUCGGAAUCCGGGAGGACCAUCUCCCAAGGCUAAAUACUCCCUAGUGACCGAUAGUGAACCAGUACCGUGAGGGAAAGGUGAAAAGCACCCCGGAAGGGGAGUGAAACAGUUCCUGAAACCGUGUGCCUACAAGUAGUUAGAGCCCGUUAAUGGGUGAUAGCGUGCCUUUUGUAGAAUGAACCGGCGAGUUACGAUUUGUUGCAAGGUUAAGCGGAAAAAGCGGAGCCGUAGCGAAAGCGAGUCUGAAUAGGGCGCAUGAGUAACAGGUCGUAGACCCGAAACCAGGUGAUCUACCCAUGUCCAGGAUGAAGGUGAGGUAAUACUCACUGGAGGUCCGAACCCACGCACGUUGAAAAGUGCGGGGAUGAGGUGUGGGUAGCGGAGAAAUUCCAAUCGAACCUGGAGAUAGCUGGUUCUCUCCGAAAUAGCUUUAGGGCUAGCCUCGAGGUAAAGAGUCGUGGAGGUAGAGCACUGUUUGGACUAGGGGCCCUUCUCGGGUUACCGAAUUCAGAUAAACUCCGAAUGCCAUGUACUUAUACUCGGGAGUCAGACUGCGAGUGAUAAGAUCCGUAGUCGAAAGGGAAACAGCCCAGACCACCAGUUAAGGUCCCAAAAUAUAUGUUAAGUGGAAAAGGAUGUGGGGUUGCAUAGACAACCAGGAUGUUGGCUUAGAAGCAGCCACCAUUGAAAGAGUGCGUAAUAGCUCACUGGUCGAGUGACCCCGCGCCGAAAAUGUACCGGGGCUAAACAUAUUACCGAAACUGUGGAUGAACCUCUUUGGAGGUUCGUGGUAGGAGAGCGUUCUAAGGGCGGUGAAGUCAGACCGGAAGGACUGGUGGAGCGCUUAGAAGUGAGAAUGCCGGUAUGAGUAGCGAAAGAAGGGUGAGAAUCCCUUCCACCGAAUAUCUAAGGUUUCCUGAGGAAGGCUCGUCCGCUCAGGGUUAGUCGGGACCUAAGCUGAGGCCGAUAGGCGUAGGCGAUGGACAACAGGUAGAUAUUCCUGUACCAGUGCUAGUUGUUUGAGCAAUGGGGUGACACAGAAGGAUAGGGAAUCGCACAGAUGGAAACGUGCGUCCAAGCAGUGAGUGUGAGAAG